UUACAGUCUUAGAAUAGCCACACAAAAAAGGAAAAAGGAAAUUUCUAAAGAAUGGAGGAUAUCAUAUAACACUGUGCACUAAGGCCUGGUGCACAACUGAGCACAAGGUCAGGAACAUUAGUUAGUUUGAGACCGAUGUCUCACAGGUCUUACCUGAAAAACACGAGUUAUGAGUGAAAAGGAAAUCCCUGAAUCCUUUCUUUUGAGGAAAAGUUGCAAAGGACAAGAAGAGAGACUUUUGCCAGACUAAGAUGUGGCUUUUUCUUUUUAGUGGAGUCACCUCUUCACAGGGCAGCUUUGCACAGCACCAGUUUUUUAACGCGUGGCAGCAACUGUAGGCAGCGCAUGUGCCGAGGCUGUAAUUCGUCUGUAAGUGAUGGAGGCAGCAUACACCCACAAGUGUUCUAGUCUAACCUGACAUGCUGAAGGAGGAGGAUGCCCACAAGCACAGAAAUGAAUGAGGUCCAGAAUUUUUUCUCUUUACAACAUGUGUGCUUCAGUGACCAGCAGAAAAGGCCAGACUUCUGAAGAGAUUCGGUACAAAGAAAUUCACACCAGAAAUUCUGAAAACUGUAAAGUACUUUAUUUUGUAUAGCUUCCCUCUUUUUCACAGAAGCUACUUUGUAUAUAUAUAUAAAUGUGGAAGUUGAAUCUUGUCUGGCUGUAAAAAAAAUAAAAUAAAA